UACGGAGGUGGCAAGCGUUGCUCGGAAUUACUGGGCGUAAAGGGCGCGUAGGCGGCUUGGUCAGUCCCGUGUGAAAUCCCUCGGCUCAACUGAGGAACUGCACGGGAAACUGCCUGGCUUGAGUUCGGGAGAGGGAAGCGGAAUUCCGGGUGUAGCGGUGAAAUGCGUAGAUAUCCGGAGGAACACCGGUGGCGAAGGCGGCUUCCUGGACCGACACCGACGCUGAGGCGCGAAAGCUAGGGGAGCAAACGGG
rnacentral:rRNA from 1 species